rnacentral:lncRNA from 1 species
GAUAAAUUUGUUUUGUUUACUUAUAAACCUUUGCAGCUACAAUAUAUUAUUUCUUGAAAAGUAAUGCUCAUCCUCAGCAUGUUGAUAGAAUCAAUAUAUGAAUAUGAGUUGCCAUAUAAAUCAACAUUACCUGCUCUUCUUAUAUCUCACAUAAAUAUAUGAAAUCUUCAUCAUCAAGUAGAGGUUGACACUGAUACAGAAAUGUUUAUGUCAGUAUAUGUGAUACUUCGAAAAUAGAAAGAUUUUAAUUAUAUUGAUCAAAAUAAAUAUUCAGUACCGGUUAGAAUCUUAUUGAAAUCAUAAUUGGAGUAGAAAGUCUUAAUAGCCUCCUUUUCUUGCUCAGUGGAAAUCUUUGAAAUUUUGAAGCAUCAUAGUGGAUAUCAGGGAAACAACCAAAAUAAAUUAUAUGUCAGAGCUUUUGUUUUUUGUCAAUUGACUGAUACUCAUGAAUUCUGGAUAUUUGAUUAUGGUAUCUUAUUAGAGGAUAUAUUUUUUCUUGAUUUUGAAGUUGAAGCUGAGAAGAUCAUUUAAGCACAGAUGAGAACUCCUGAAAUAAGAACAUUGUGUUAAUAGAAAAAAAAUCACUUAAAGAUAUGAAAAUAUGGAGGUAGGUAAAUGGUGCACUAAAAGAUUGACAAAUGAUAGAGAUUUAUAUUUUUAUCAUGAAUAGCU